GGGGAAUAUUGGACAAUGGGCGCAAGCCUGAUCCAGCCAUGCCGCGUGAGUGACGAAGGUCUUCGGAUUGUAAAGCUCUUUUGGCGGGGAAGAUAAUGACGGUACCCGCAGAAUAAGCCCCGGCUAACUUCGUGCCAGCAGCCGCGGUAAUACGAAGGGGGCUAGCGUUGUUCGGAAUUACUGGGCGUAAAGCGCACGUAGGCGGACUUAUAAGUCAGGGGUGAAAUCCCGGGGCUCAACCUCGGAACUGCCUUUGAUACUGUAAGUCUCGAGACCGGAAGAGGUGAGUGGAAUUCCUAGUGUAGAGGUGAAAUUCGUAGAUAUUAGGAAGAACACCAGUGGCGAAGGCGGCUCACUGGUCCGGAUCUGACGCUGAGGUGCGAAAGCGUGGGGAGCAAAC
rnacentral:rRNA from 1 species